UACAGAGGGUGCGAGCGUUGUUCGGAAUUAUUGGGCGUAAAGGGUGCGUAGGCGGCGGGGCAAGUCUGAUGUGAAAUCCCGGGGCUCAACCCCGGAACUGCAUUGGAUACUGCCUUGCUUGAGUACUGGAGAGGAGACUGGAAUUUACGGUGUAGCAGUGAAAUGCGUAGAUAUCGUAAGGAAGGCCAGUGGCGAAGGCGAGUCUCUGGACAGUUACUGACGCUGAGGCACGAAGGCCAGGGGAGCAAACGGG
rnacentral:rRNA from 1 species